CUGGGCAGCUUUGUCACCCACUAACUGGUUCUGGGUCCCAGAUUUGGAUUGGAUUUAGAAGAUCUGAUUCCAGGGAAGUGAUGUCGAGGUUUGGGAGGUCCUGGGUGGUGGAUGAAGAAAGGAGGAAGUUCAGAAGCCAUUAGCAACAGUGGUUCAGGCCCAUUUCAAGUCUCUAGCUUAGCCUACUGAGGAAUAACCAAGGCUAGAAUUCUAGACUAAAGGAGAGCCUACACUUCUGCCACUGUCACUAAUAGAGCUUUCCAGCUGGUGGAGGAGUCCAGCAACAAGUCUACUUGUUAGUCUUCUUGCUGAGACCUAAACUCAAGAAGCAAAUAGAAGCCAGAUACCCCCAAAAUGUUGGCCAUUGAUGCCUCUUGUGCUGAUCAAUUAAAGACAACUUCUCACCUGGUCCCUCAGUCCAGAAAGGCAUCACCCCGAGAAGUGCCCAUGUUUUUUUCCUGACUAAUAAAUGCCCAAGUGACAGCUGUACCACUUCACAUUUCAGACUUGAACCUGUGUGUGCAUUGAUUGCCUCAAUUGACAGAAUUUGAUUCAAGGUAGUGGACCGGCAGUCCUGCCACAGAAGAAGGUUGCUGGAGCCUUCAAGUGUUAUGACCUUCAUUAAUACUCUGUGCCCUGAAAUCACUUCAAAGUAAAAUAGCCCUGAAGAUUCCAGGGUCAAAUUCUCCUUGAAAUGCUAGAUGGAGAAGAAGGACAUCCUAGCAGAGAAGGGUUUAAUCAACAUAAAGAAAUCAAAAGCAUUACAAAAUAAAUAAAUAAAAAAUAAAAAGCUCUCA
rnacentral:lncRNA from 1 species